UAUAACUCCAAUAACAUUCUGCGUUAUGCACGGUGAAAUUGGACCGAGAUAGUUCUUUGUAUACCAAGGCGGAUUAUUCGAAGCGGAAGAAUAAUUCCACGGACGCAAGUGUCGAAAAAUAUAUUCAAAUAAAAUGUAUGUAAGGCAAUGCUUAUAUCCUCACAUGCCAAAAAAUCCAUAAUUACACAAAUUCCAAAAAUAAUGUAUUCAGUUUCGUAAAGUCAGCGUUACGAAAGAAACGUACUUUAUGAGAUUUAAGUGAAAAUUUUAUUUUCAUUUAAUCUAUUUUGGAAAAAAUAAACUGAUUUGCCGAAUUCUUAUAAGGAUCGGUCAGCUAUAUACGAUCCGAUAUAUAUGUAAUAAUAUGUUGGCACCUAGUGCCAAGACCUACUACCCAAUAUUCACACUUAGUAAUCUGAUCUAAUCAAUGGUCAUAAGCACGUCGCUAUUGGAACACCAAGUAAUAAUUAACAAUAAGCAUAAAACAAUAUCCAACCUUAUAACCCAGCACAAGUAGACGGCGCCAGAAGCAGAAAUCAGCAUUAUCAGCGGGAAGAAUGACCGACUGACCGAAGCAAGCAAAAACCAGCUCGGUAUGCCGAAAUGCAUAUACAAGCAAUGCAUAGACAAGUAAUGCAUGAACAAGCAAUCUGAGUCAGCAGACUAAGAGAUAUAAUUAUGUACAACUAACAUCAUAAAAACGAAGGCAUGAAGGACGGUUAGAUGAUAUGGAAGACUUUCUGUGCAACCGCACCGAAGGACGGGAAUUGUCCACACACAUCAGACAACAAAUGAAGGAGCAAUGGAAGGAAAUCGUCACAGGAUACCAUGAUC